CCUUUUUGAAUUAAAGAAGUGGCAUUUCUUUGAUUAUGGAAAGCGUCUCUUGAAAUCUUAGCUUUGCCCGCGUUAAGGGAAGGAGCAUGUCAACAGCCAGGAAGAGAUCCUGUUCUCAGAGACAGCGAUGCUCAGAAGCAAUGCAGUUGCGAAGAAAAUCUUUGCCACAUGAAAAUGCACUGCACCACACGGUUAUUCUUUACCAGGUACAAUUUAUUUCUUCAUCAUGUUAGUAAAGUCAAAGAUUCAAGAUUUCAUUUUCGUUGGCUCUCAUUCAUUGAAGACAUGUUUCUUUUUUGCUUGUUAACUACAUGAUUGUUCUUUUCAUGAAUGGUUAAGUAGCAAGGAGAUACGCCCAAAAUUUAUCAUGGGUAAUGCUUAGUGUUGUUUGUUGCUUGGCCACCGGAAUCCUAUGUUCCAGUUGGAACAUACGCGUGUAAUGGAAUCUAAAACAUGGGUGGAGCAUACUCCGGGCAGGAAAUUUGCUGGGUUUGUAAUUACUUUAAGGUGCCAACCGACCAUCAUUGUGCUCUCAUGCAUAUAUUCAAACUUGCAAAAGGCUGGGGUUGCCCAGAUGAGUUCUUUGUUGCUUUCGGUAGAAGGAAUUUUGACAAAAUAGAAACACAUAAACAAUUACUGCUUAUUGAGAAAUCGCAAUUAUUAUCUUUCCCAGUUCCUGAUCUAAUCGUUUUGUUUGACUGCAGCCUCACUUGCGAACAUAUUUGGGAUCAUCCAAUUUUUGUAAUAAAUUGUGAUCAUGUAGUUAGUACAGGUGGCAAUCAUCAUACGUGAUAAAUUGCACUUUUUCCAUGUGGGCAUAGUUCCAUGGGAUCCUGAGAUGUGGUUUUGAGGCACGUUGAACAUGCUAGGAGGCCGAUACUGCCUCGACAGAGAGCAAGGCCAUAGACCCAGUCCAGGAUUUCACCUAGGUUUUGUUGAAGGAUUAGUAGGAGAGCAAAGGAUCGAGGUUAACUUGGAAGUUCUAGUUGGUGGUCUAGCAGUUUAUGCCUUGGCAUCUGCAAUAUAAAAGUUCAAAGAAAGACAGCAUAAAGUAGUUGAAAGAACUUUCAAAGAAAGAAGCAUUAGCAACAUUGCCUUUGAACCCAUCAAGUCAUGAAUAUUAGAUUUUAAAUGUUGCUAGAACUGCAAUUCUUUGCUUUGACUGUAUCUUACAGGGCACAACCAAUGAUGUGACAGCCUUUCUAAUCCUUGGAAGAAGUCAGAUAAAAGACAUAGCGACACUGAUAUUUUAAGAGUGGGUCAAAAAAUUAAUACAGUGA
rnacentral:lncRNA from 1 species